GACGGAGGGUGCUAGCGUUGUUCGGAAUCACUGGGCGUAAAGGGCGCGUAUGCGGCUCUGGCAGUCGGCUUUGUGAAAGCCCGGGGCUCAACCCCGGAGGUGCGGCCGAAACACCAGGGCUUGAGGCCGGAAGAGGAGGGUGGAAUACCCAGUGUAGAGGUGAAAUUCGUAGAUAUUGGGUGGAACACCGGUGGCGAAAGCGGCUCUCUGGUCCGGACCUGACGCUGAGGCGCGAAAGCGUGGGGAGCAAACAGG
rnacentral:misc_RNA from 1 species